UUCGACUGACUCUAUCCGAGAAGGGGUGUCUGCCCUUUCAACUAGAUGGUAAUCUAUUGGACUACCAUGGUUGUUACGGGUAACGGAGAAUUAGGGUUCGACUCCGGAGAGGGAGCCUUAGAAACGGCUACCACGUCCAAGGAAGGCAGCAGGCGCGAAACUUAUCCACUGUUGAGUAUGAGAUAGUGACUAAAAAUAUAAAGACUCAUCCUUUUGGAUGAGUUAUUUCAAUGAGUUGAAUAUAAAUUAUUCUUCGAGUAGCAAGGAGAGGGCAAGUCUGGUGCCAGCAGCCGCGGUAAUUCCAGCUCUCCUAGUGUAUCUCGUUAUUGCUGCGGUUAAAAAGCUCGUAGUUGGAUCUAGGUUACGUGCCGCAGUUCGCAAUUUGCGUUAACUGUGGUCGUGACUUCUAAUUUGCUGGUUUGAGGUUGGGUUCGCCCUUCAACUGCCAGCAGGUUUACCUUGAAUAAAUCAGAGUGCUCAAUACAGGCGCUUGCUUGAAUAGCUCAUCAUGGAAUAAUGAAACUAGGACUUCGGUUCUUUUUGUUGGUUCUAGAAUUGAUCUAAUGGUUAAGAGGGACAAACCGGGGGCAUUCGUAUCAUUACGCGAGAGGUGAAAUUCGUGGACCGUAGUGAGACGCCCAAUAGCGAAAGCAUUUGCCAAGAAUGUCUUCAUUAAUCAAGAACGAAAGUCAGAGGUUCGAAGGCGAUUAGAUACCGCCCUAGUUCUGACCGUAAACGAUGCCAUCUCGCGAUUCGGAGGGUUCAUGCCCUACCGAGGAGCUACCCGGAAACGAAAGUCUUUCGGUUCCGGGGGUAGUAUGGUUGCAAAGCUGAAACUUAAAGAAAUUGACGGAAGGGCACCACAAGGCGUGGAGCUUGCGGCUUAAUUUGACUCAACACGGGAAAACUCACCCGGUCCGGACACUAUUAGGACUGACAGAUUGAAAGCUCUUUCUCGAUUUGGUGGUUGGUGGUGCAUGGCCGUUCUUAGUUGGUGGAGUGAUUUGUCUGGU
rnacentral:ncRNA from 1 species